UACGGGGGGGGCAAGCGUUGUUCGGAAUUACUGGGCGUAAAGGGCUUGUAGGCGGUCCGGUAAGUCCGCUGUGAAAGUCGGGGGCUCAACCCUCGAAUGCCGGUGGAUACUGUCGGGCUAGAGUGCGGAAGAGGCGAGUGGAAUUCCUGGUGUAGCGGUGAAAUGCGCAGAUAUCAGGAGGAACACCUAUUGCGAAGGCAGCUCGCUGGGACGUAACUGACGCUGAGACGCGAAAGCGUGGGGAGCGAACAGG
rnacentral:rRNA from 1 species